rnacentral:piRNA from 2 species
UAAGCAAAAUGUGCUUGCCUUUUAAAGAUC